rnacentral:rRNA from 1 species
GAUGAACGCUGGCGGCGUGCCUAAUACAUGCAAGUCGAGCGAACAGACGAGGAGCUUGCUCCUCUGACGUUAGCGGCGGACGGGUGAGUAACACGUGGAUAACCUACCUAUAAGACUGGGAUAACUUCGGGAAACCGGAGCUAAUCCCGUAUAAUAUAUUGAACCGCAUGGUUCAAUAGUGAAAGACGGUUUUGCUGUCACUUAUAGAUGGAUCCGCGCCGCAUUAGCUAGUUGGUAAGGUAACGGCUUACCAAGGCGACGAUGCGUAGCCGACCUGAGAGGGUGAUCGGCCACACUGGAACUGAGACACGGUCCAGACUCCUACGGGAGGCAGCAGUAGGGAAUCUUCCGCAAUGGGCGAAAGCCUGACGGAGCAACGCCGCGUGAGUGAUGAAGGUCUUCGGAUCGUAAAACUCUGUUAUUAGGGAAGAACAAAUGUGUAAGUAACUAUGCACGUCUUGACGGUACCUAAUCAGAAAGCCACGGCUAACUACGUG